rnacentral:tRNA from 1 species
GGGGCCGUAGCUCAGUUGGGAGAGCACCUCCUUUGCAAGGAGGGGGUCAGGAGUUCGAGCCUCCUCGGCUCCACCA